UUUUUAGCGUUGGGGUAAAGACACUGGAGGCAGCGGUUCAUCGAUCUCUUCCUGAGAAUUUUGUUGUGAGAAUAACACAAAUACAUGAAUCGAUCGAUAAACCUCUGCAUCCAGCGCCUUAACUCUCCAUGAAGUUUUAUGUUAGUUA
rnacentral:pre_miRNA from 1 species